rnacentral:rRNA from 1 species
GUCCUAAACCAUAAGGCUAAAUUCAACUAAAGCCUAAAACAAGACCCCCGUAAACCCAGAGACAAUGGGCUUA